rnacentral:lncRNA from 1 species
CUCUCUUAACAUAUAUUUCAUACAUACAACUUAAUAUCUGCUCCUACCCUUUUCUUAUUAUUGUACUUUUGUUUUUCUUUUUUCUUCUCUACCUCAUUCUUAUUUAUUUUGGCUUCUUUUGAAUCAGCGGACUACUGGGUUGUGUUGGCUACAUCAAAGUUUUGUUAUAUUAUUAUGUAAUCAUACAUUUGAUAAAAUGCUCUUUUCUUACUUAUAGUAUUUUUUAA